AUCACAAUAACAACCAUGAUCCUGUUCCACUUCCUGUAGCGGAUUCCGCGCGGCUCCAUUACUCUCUGACAGGCUGUGUCAACGGCCACGAUUCUGCUCCCCUCCCUGCGGCAGGUGCUGCACGAUCCCACUACUCGCUGACAGCUAGCGGCAACGGACGCCGCUCCACUACCUGCAACAGGCCCUACGUGGCAGGCUAUGACAAUAGCCACGGGUCUACCCCACUACCUUUCGCAAUAAAUUUUCCUGACCAUGGGCGGCCCACUACC
rnacentral:lncRNA from 1 species